GCCAGACUCCUACGGGAGGCAGCAGUGAGGAAUAUUGGUCAAUGGGCGCGAGCCUGAACCAGCCAAGUCGCGUGAGGGAGGACGGCCCUACGGGUUGUAAACCUCUUUUGCCGGGGAGCAACGGGCGUCACGUGUGGCGCCACUGAGAGUACCCGGAGAAAAAGCAUCGGCUAACUCCGUGCCAGCAGCCGCGGUAAUACGGAGGAUGCGAGCGUUAUCCGGAUUUAUUGGGUUUAAAGGGUGCGUAGGCGGAUCGUUAAGCCGGUGGUAAAAUGGGGGGCCCCCCCCCCUCCCCGCCAUUGAAACUGGCGUUCUUGAGUGGAAGAGAAGUAUGCGGAAUGCGUGGUGUAGCGGUGAAAUGCAUAGAUAUCACGCAGAACUCCGAUUGCGAAGGCAGCAUACCGGCGCUCAACUGACGCUCAUGCACGAAAGUGUGGGUAUCGAACAGGAUUAGAUACCCCUGUACGG
rnacentral:rRNA from 1 species